rnacentral:tRNA from 1 species
AGGAACUUAGGAUAGAUAAUAAACCAGGGGCCUUCAAAGCCCCAAACAAGAGAUACCCCCUCUUAGUUUCUG